UACGUAGGGUGCAAGCGUUGUCCGGAAUUAUUGGGCGUAAAGAGCUCGUAGGCGGCUUGUCGCGUCGACUGUGAAAUCCCGCGGCUCAACUGCGGGUCUGCAGUCGAUACGGGCAGGCUAGAGUUCGGUAGGGGAGACUGGAAUUCCUGGUGUAGCGGUGAAAUGCGUAGAGAUCCGGAAGAACACCGGUGGCGAAGGCGGUCUGCUGGGCCAAGACUGACGCUGAGGCGCGACAGCGUGGGGAGCAAACAGG
rnacentral:rRNA from 1 species